CCCUUAGAUGUUCUGGGCCGCACGCGCGCUACACUGACGAAUGCAACGAGCUUAUAACCUUGGCCGAAAGGUCUGGGUAAUCUCCAAAUUUCGUCGUGAUGGGGAUAGAUUAUUGCAAUUAUUAAUCUUCAACGAGGAAUGCCUAGUAAGCGCAAGUCAUCAGCUUGCGUUGAUUACGUUCCUGCCCUUUGUACACACCGCCCGUCGCACCUACCGAUUGAAUGGUCCGGUGAAAUCUCGGGACGGCGGCUUGGUCGCUUGCGUCCGACUGCUGAAACUUGAUUAAACCAUAUCAUUUAGAGGAAGGUGAAGUCGUAACA
rnacentral:rRNA from 1 species